rnacentral:rRNA from 1 species
GACGAACGCUGGCGGCGUGCUUAACACAUGCAAGUCGAACGGAAAGGCCCUGCUUUUGUGGGGUGCUCGAGUGGCGAACGGGUGAGUAACACGUGAGUAACCUGCCCUUGACUUUGGGAUAACUUCAGGAAACUGGGGCUAAUACCGGUAGGAGCUCCUGCUGCAUGGGGGGGGGUGGAAAGUUUCGGCGGUUGGGGAUGGACUCGCGGCUUAUCAGCUUGUUGGUGGGGUAGUGGCUUACCAAGGCUUUGACGGGUAGCCGGCCUGAGAGGGUGACCGGCCACAUUGGGACUGAGAUACGGCCCAGACUCCUACGGGAGGCAGCAGUGGGGAAUAUUGCACAAUGGGCGGAAGCCUGAUGCAGCAACGCCGCGUGCGGGAUGACGGCCUUCGGGUUGUAAACCGCUUUCGCCUGUGACGAAGCGUGAGUGACGGUAAUGGGUAAAGAAGCACCGGCUAACUACGUG